ensembl:processed_transcript Gm15510 predicted gene 15510
ACCGUUCCCCGCCUUUGGGUGCUCAGGGUACAAGGGGCCGAGGCCCCGCUCUCACCCACCCGCGCACGGACUCCAGCCCCGGGACCGACGGCAGUGGCGGCGCCCAUGCCCAGCGCAGGGGAGCGUCUGCAAAGUGUCGCGGAGAGAAGCGCCCACCCACCACACUGCAUAAAACUGGUUGAAACAGAAGAAUCAGAAGUUCAAGGUUAUCUUCUCCAAUAUAUUGAGGAGUUGGAGGCCGGCCUGGGCUACAUGAAAUCGCAUCUGAAAACAAGGAUGGAGAGCAGCUGUGAUUCUUGCCAGUGACCCAGCAGGGGAAAGUAAGGUCUCCAGAGGAGACCAGCCAUUCCUAG